rnacentral:rRNA from 1 species
GGACAUGUGGCUUAAUUUGACUCAACGCGGGAAAUCUUACCAGGUCCGGACACACUGAGGAUUGACAGGAAGUAUCGUCUUUUGAAUUCUUUAAGGAUAUGUCGUUUUUAAUGACAUCUUUUAGAUGGAUGAUUCGUGUAAAUAUGCUAGUUCUUUCAUGAUUAUGUGAUAGGUGGUGCAUGGCCGUUCUUAGUUCGUGGAGUGAUCUGUCUGCUUAAUUGCGUUUCACUAAGGCCCCAAAGUUAGCAAAUUAUCAAUCGUUACAGAGUCGACCCCUCACCUUUGAGUGCGCGUCCUAACUUGUAGUACAUGGUGUAAAUGGAUUUGUUUUGGGUACCCAGAAAGCAACGAACGUGACCGCAACGUCUUGUUGUCUCUCUUUGACAGUUAUGGGUUAUCCCAGUCAUGUGUUUAUACUUUUAUGUGUAAAUACGUACGACACAGAGACUAGAUACCAAACUAGGCGUACCGCUGUAUCAUUUCUUUAAACCAGAGGAAGGUUGCGGCAAUAACAG